rnacentral:rRNA from 1 species
GUACGUGAGCUGGGUUUAGAACGUCGCGAGACAAAUAGGUCCCUAUCUCAUGUGGGCGUAGGAUACUUGAGAGGAGCUGUCCCUAGUACGAGAGGACCGGGACGGACGAACCUCUGGUGCACCAGUUGUCGCGCCAGCGGCACAGCUGGGUAGCUAUGUUCGGUUCGGAUAACCGCUGAAAGCAUCUAAGCGGGAAGCCAGCCUCGAGAUGAGGUAUCCCUGAAGACCCCUGGCAGAUUACCAGGUUGAUAGGCGGGGCGUGUAAGCGCUGCGAGGCGUUUAGCUAACCCGUACUAAUCGGUCGUUCGGCUUGACCAUUUUC